CUCCCGGUUGAUCCUGCCGGACCCGACUGCUAUCAGAGUGGGACUAAGCCAUGCGAGUCAACAUAGCAAUAUGUGGCAUACGGCUCAGUAACACGUAGUCAACAUGCCCAGGGGACGUGGAUAACCUCGGGAAACUGAGGAUAAACCGCGAUAGGUCAUCACUUCUGGAAUGGGUAAUGACUUAAAUCUAUAUGGCCCCUGGAUUGGACUGCGGCCGAUCAGGCUGUUGGUGAGGUAAUGGCCCACCAAACCUGUAACCGGUACGGGCUCUGAGAGGAGGAGCCCGGAGAUGGGCACUGAGACAAGGGCCCAGGCCCUAUGGGGCGCAGCAGGCGCGAAACCUCUGCAAUAGGCGAAAGCUUGACAGGGUUACUCUGAGUGAUUUCCGUUAAGGAGAUCUUUUGGCACCUCUAAAAAUGGUGCAGAAUAAGGGGUGGGCAAGUCUGGUGUCAGCCGCCGCGGUAAUACCAGCACCCCGAGUGGUCGGGACGUUUAUUGGGCCUAAAGCAUCCGUAGCCGGUUCUACAAGUCUUCCGUUAAAUCCACCUGCUUAACAGAUGGGCUGCGGAAGAUACUAUAGAGCUAGGAGGCGGGAGAGGCAAGCGGUACUCGAUGGGUAGGGGUAAAAUCCGUUGAUCCAUUGAAGACCACCAGUGGCGAAGGCGGCUUGCCAGAACGCGCUCGACGGUGAGGGAUGGAAGCUGGGGGAGCAAACCGGAUUAGAUACCCGGGUAGUCCCAGCUGUAAACGAUGCAGACUCGGUGAUGAGUUGGCUUAUUGCUAACUCAGUGCCGCAGGGAAGCCGUUAAGUUUGCCGCCUGGGGAGUACGGUCGCAAGACUGAAACUUAAAGGAAUUUGGCGGGGGAGCA
rnacentral:rRNA from 1 species